GUUUCUUAGCAAAGAGGAUUAGAAUCGUAAAAGAUCCAGCUUUAUACCAAGGAGUAUAAGAAAUGUAAUAGGUUUGUUUCCAAAGCAACAAAAAGGUUUACCUGAUAAGUUGACUGAGGGUUCUUCCAUAAUACAUAUGAGUAUUCAAGUUGCUGAGGACCCUUUCACACAGAAAAAUGCUUAGAGCCAUCAUCAAAGAAAUCCGCCUAUUAUAAGCUAGUUUUUAACCACCUUUUUUUUUUCUUUACGUGGUCAGGCUCAAGAAGUAUGAUGAGCUUUCAAAAAGAAAAAGAGAUGGAAAUCACCAACUAUGCUGCCUACUGAAUGAAUAUUUCUUUGUAGCAUGUGCAGAGUCAAGGAAAAUUAUAUUCCUGCAUUGUAUAAUCUACCAACAGUCUACUUUCCUACUGUUUCAAUCUAGGAUAUUCUUUAAAAAGCAGAGCCUGAGACAUAGGUAAAGACAUUCUGUUUGGAAUUUGAUCCCAGGGAGAAGGAGUGAAAGAGAAAUGAAGAGGGAGAAAUGGAAAAGAUCAAAGCAAAACAAGGUAGUGUUUUCAAGUGGUACACUACUGUGAAUGGUUGCAUAAUAUAUAACCUUCUCAAGAAUCUUUGUUUCAGAGCUAUAUUCCUGAGGGAUGAAAGGGAGAAAUAUUUUUAUGUCAGCAGCCAUCUGCUUUGUGUUGACAGCUGCAGUGAGUCCCCGUCACAAGGUGCCUCUCUGGUAUAGGACAUCACACCUUGCUGCAACAGAGAAGCUUUGGGACAGGAGGCUUGAUUCUUCGUGCAUGCUUGACAUAUGGCACUGUCAGCAUGAAGCAGGGUAAAACUUCCUAGACUAUUCACCAGAGCUGCAGCUGGAAUCAGGUUAAAAGACUUGAGAGUACAGAAGAGGCAUUUUAUAAGCCUGCAUAACACACGGUUAGACCUGUCUAAAUUGGUUUCCUCCCUUUUUACUAUAAUCAUAAUAUCCAGAACAAGUUGAUAGAAGGGUUAAAUAGGAAGGUUAUAUGUUUAUACCAGUUUUAACCUCAAGUUUAACCUCAAGUUUAUAAGAAAGAGAAAGUGACAGUGGAACUUGGAAAACUGAAAAUGAUUCUACUUGAAAAAUUUUGACCAUUGGAAAGAGAUAUUAGAUACUGUCUAAACUUCUGUCAUAUCAGAAAUAGUCAUGAAUUGUUUCGAGAAAAAUGAAGAAUAAAAUUAACCAUUUCAUGUAUCUCCAUGAGCUUUAUAAAUCAAUGUUAUUAACUUUUCACAGGAUACUACUUUCUACAGUCAUACAACACUAGUAUUACAAAGCUUACAACUAAUGAAAAGAAACAGGCAGAAACAUAAGAAGAAAAAUAAUUGGGAUCACAUAUAGGGUUGUCAUUAAUGUUGGUUGGAUUCUGGGGAACUGCAUGAUUUCGCUUGGCUUUCUUCUGUGAGUAUUAUCUACUUUUAUUUCGUUUGGAAUUUUCAUUAAUAGAGUGUAGUAUUUGAGUUAUUCAACUCAAUAUGUGUCGAGCUCCUGUUUAUUAGCACUUUAAACAUGCGAACAAGACGUAGAGCAUUACAUCCCAAAACAUUAGAAUUUCUGUUUUGUUUUUUUUUUAAGGUAUACUUUAGAAUAUUUAUUUACCAACACUGACCAUAGGCUGGAUCACAAGUCUCAACAAACUUCAAAAGAUUGAAUCAUACUUAGUAUGAAUUAAACCAGAAGUUUAUUACAUAAAGAUAACAAAAAAAUUCCAGAUGUUUGUAAGUUAGGAGCAUAAGCCUAGUUACCAAUGGGUCAAACAGUAAAUCACAACAGAAUUUAGAAAAUAUUUCAAAAUGAGUUCUAAUGAAAAAACACCAUCAAAACCAAAUUCUAUGAAAGCAAAUGCUUACAGCUCUAAAUUCACACAUAAGAAAUUGUAUAAAAAUCUUGACUAUUGCUGUUUCAAAAAGCCAGAGCAGUGGGGAGCAAGUGAAGGGAGAGAAGUAGACAGACAUUGGACACCUGGUAGCAAAGGACUGAUAAUUCAGAGAACAACACAAGGCAAAACCUACAGUGGCUUUGAUUUUCUGCAGAUGAGCACUCUGGAGCAAUUCAGGAGAAGGAACAUAAGCAGAGCAUUCUUGCUGAGUUGAGAAAAAGAUGAGUUGAAACUGGAAUGGUUUGAAUUUUCAGGGUAGGGAUUAAGUGAAGCGGAAGGUAUGCAGAGAAAAAACUGCACAAAACAUACAUAGAGAUCCUCUUGUGCCCAUUGCUGAACAUUAAGCCUAACCAUACUCAAAGUUAACAUUAGACUUGGAAACAUUUAAUUUCCAUCUAGUUAUAGUGGAGAGUCCUCCCUGAGAACUCCAGGGAUUUGCCAAAGAUCCCUAAAAGGUUACACAUAAUAUAGAUAGGGCUAACUGUUUUGAAUAAAAACUGCCCCCUCCCCCCAAGAGCAAGUUGAAUAUUAUAAAACCAAUCUUCAAGUAACCACCUGCCUGAACAAAAUCCAAAUUUGUUAGUUGUAGUCCUGCAAGAAGCACAUAUAAAGAUAGAAUUUAAUUUCUAAAAGAUUUGUUUGGGGAAAUUCCUCUGAGGGUUGAAAUGGAGAAGAAUCCAGAAGAGGUAGAAUCUUCAGACCACAUAACUUGUCUGACCUCUGUGAAGGUGCAAGGUUUAACUUUAUGUGUGUCAACAUUAUUGGGUCACAGUAUUAGUAUGCCAAGAUAUCUGGUUAAACAUUAUUUCUGGGGUGUCCAUGAGGGCGUUUCUGGAAGAGAAUGGUAUUUGAACACAUUGAGUAAACAGACUAAUCCCAGGUAUGGGCAGGUAUCAUCCUAUCUGCUGAGGGCCCGAAUAAAACAAAAAGAUGAAGGAAACAUUUUUUCUUUGCCUAUUAGGGUAGGACUCCAUCUUCUGCUCUUGGGCUGGGACUGACAGCCUCAGUGCUCCUGGCUCUCAGCUCUUUAGAGGGCAGAUCAUGGCACUUAGCCUCCAAGAUUACAAGAGCCAGUUCUUUAUGAUAAAUAUCUAUAUUGGUGGGUGAAUGAUUGGAUAGAUACGGAUAGAUCCUAUUGUUUGUUUUUCUGGAGAACCCUGGCUACU
rnacentral:lncRNA from 1 species